AGCAGCCGCGGUAAUUCCAGCUCCAAUAGCGUAUAUUAAAGUUGUUGCAGUUAAAAAGCUCGUAGUUGAAUUUCGGGAUCAAUUUAUUGGUCGUGCUAUUGUACGUACUGGUAUUAUUGAUUCCUACCUUCUGACGAACCAUGAUGUCAUUAAUUUGGUGUCAUGGGGAAUCAGGACUGUUACUUUGAAAAAAUUAGAGUGUUUAAAGCAGGCUCACGCUUGAAUACAUUAGCAUGGAAUAACGAAAUAGGACGUUUGAUUCUAUUUUGUUGGUUUCUAGGAUCGACGUAAUGAUUAAUAGGGAUAGUUGGGGGCAUUAGUAUUCAAUUGUCAGAGGUGAAAUUCUUGGAUUUAUUGAAGACUAACUACUGCGAAAGCAUUUGCCAAGGAUGUUUUCAUUAAUCAAGAACGAAAGUUAGGGGAUCGAAGACGAUCAGAUACCGUCGUAGUCUUAACCAUAAACUAUGCCGACUAGGGAUCGGAUGAUGUUAAUUUUUAAUGACUCAUUCGGCGUCCG
rnacentral:rRNA from 1 species